UAAUUUGUUUUAUAUUCCUGUUAACCACAACACAUUUUUUAGUAUUUAAACAACAAAAUUCAGUAUAUUUUCAAUUCAGUCAAUCUAAACCAUCAACAUGAGUAAAAUGUCAAUUUUCUUAACUGUCGUUAUUGGUGUCCUAGUAAUCCUAGUGGACAAGGCAUUUUGCCAAGUUAACGCACAUGUCCCUGGUGUAAUUGCAGCAACUAUAUUACCAUAAAAGUAAAAUACAUUUCAUUGUGAAAAUUAAAGUAAAUAAUAAAAAGUUAACCGUUAUGUUUGUUUGUUAAAUUAAA